GACGAACGCUGGCGGCGUGCUUAACACAUGCAAGUCGAGCGGUAAGGCCCUUUCGGGGGUACACGAGCGGCGAACGGGUGAGUAACACGUGGGUGACCUGCCCUCAGCUCUGGGAUAAGCCCGGGAAACUGGGUCUAAUACCGGAUAUGACUUCAUGACGCAUGUUGUGGAGUGGAAAGCCUUGUGCGGCUGAGGAUGGGCCCGCGGCCUAUCAGCUUGUUGGG
rnacentral:rRNA from 1 species